CCCGUGGCCUGAAAUUUUUCAGAUAUUUUUUAACUGAUAUUUUUAUUUUUCAAUUGAAGUAGCAAAGAUGUUUCUGAGACUUCUUGGGAAUAAAGUGAUGGGGAUUUUUUUCAACUCCAUUAACUUAGACUUCCCAGUCUAAGUUAAAAAGAAGAGAAGAUUUUUAAGUUGUUUUUUUUUUUUUUUUUUUUUUUUCCCCCCACAGACUUGAUGUGUAAUUGAAAAGCGGGGAGAGAGAAGGAGCAGUUUCAGGAGAUGUGUGAAGGGAGAGGGCUGGAUCUGUGGGAAACAGAAAGUGAUGGUUCUUUUAAUUCAAAGAGAAAGCAGACCCUAAGAGUGAUCCAGAGCUAUGCUGUGAAGAAAGAAAAAAUAAAACCACCUGUAUUUUUGUGUUAAAAACAGCAAUGUGGAUUCCACUUCUGCUGCUGGGCUUCUAAUCAGAGGCAGGUGGAGACGGUACCUGCUCUGCGGCAAGACUUUGCAGCCAAGAAUGGUGACAUCUCAGGGCCAGAUGGAGAAGUGGGGAACAGAGCCCGAUUUGUAGUUCAGAAGAUGCAAUCUUGAACUGGAAAUGGGGAGAGAGAAGUUUGCUCCUUGAUGCUCAAGCAAUUUUUUGAAACUUUUGGUUUUCUUUCUUCAGUGACUAAGAUGCUGAAGCAAUCCAUGGGACAAAAUACCAGAACUGAUUGUUACUUUCUUCUGGCACUUGUGCAUCAACAGUUGUUACAAGUUCCCACUCAGAAGACUUAGAUGUUUACUGAUGGAGAUGUGCUCAUGCAGACAGAUUUCUGUAGGACCUCGUGAGGAUGUGGGAUAGGCUGCAGGGAGACUCCCACCCAGCCAGGUCAGUCCAUAAACCAGAUGGUAUUUCCUACUGCAUGGGGACAGCAGCUAGAAGAUAAAGCAGAAAGAAAACAGAUCAUGUUGUAUUUUCUGUUGUUGAAAUAAUAUCAACCAGGUAGGGCCUGCUGGCUACAGGAAGUGCAAGGACAGAAGGUCCAGUGACACUGAAUGGUACAAAGCCAACAUGAAAAAUCAUCAACCGUAUCCUUUCCUCCAAUGAUGAGCUGGAAAUAAGUUUCUGUGCUGUGAAUAUUUACUUGCUUUAGAGGAGCUUCCUAGCAGCUACAGCUGCAUCACUUCUCUGGCUGCCAGCCCAGCUAAUACCAUGGUAAUGCAGUCAUGCAGUUUGUUCUGCAGCUAAGUUCCUAUUUGAACAUCUUUACUUCCUGAAAUUGAAGAUUAAACAUCUCUCUUGUGCUUUUCUAAAGGCUUUACAUAAAUCAUUUGUGUCAGUACACACAAGAGCAAAUCCCACACUGCUGUCGGCGUGGCUGCUCCCCAGUACAGCUCUGCUCCUAAAGAUAUGUGUGGCAUUUGUGGACCUGGCACUGCUACAAUCAGGCUGAGGACUGAUGUUAGCUGAAGUGAAUCUAGUACUUAAAAUGUCAGUAGAUUUUGUGCUCUUAAAAGUGAUGGACUAAUACUCUUUGGCUUUCAACUAGAGAAACUAAUAUAAGUUUCUCCAGGUGUUUUUGCCAAGCUUGCUCAAUCUUGGCCUAUAUUCUUUCUGCUAUAGAGGCUUUAGUCUGAACUAGACCAAGUACUGAUGAACAUCCAGUUGGGAAUAAUCUUGCACUAGGAUGGUGAUGACCAAAAUGACCUAAUAAAUCUUCCUCACCUUUACGUUCUAUCUUUCCUUUUUCUCUUCUAUUUCUCCCUGCUAGUUGGAGAGAAUUUUGUGGCCUGUAGACCAAGAAGACAAUGACAGACCUGUGGUCUUGGUUUUUCAGUGGUGAAAAGCCAGAAUAGCUCAAAGAUAGACUCACAGAAGAAGGUUUAACAUUGAUGUUUACAUGGUCCUCAGGAUAUAGAUGUUCUGCUGGGUAUUCCUAUCACUCUGACAAGCAGGCAGCAUUUUGUUCUCUUCGGGAUUUCCAAAUGUUUGGGGUAUUGGAGCAGAAGAAACUGUAUCUUUCUAGAGAUUAUUUUUAUGGAAUGUAUUAUGAAAAGAGGUCCUUAGGAAAUAGCAAGUCACCAGAAUGCUUAUUAAAAUGACCUUAAGGUCAGAUUCUGCCACUGUUAAUCACAAUAGUUGUUCCUUACUCUGUGAGCUUUCCCAUUGGAUUCAGUGGGAUUACUCAAGGAAUUUGGAUACUACCUGGUGGGACCAAAGUGGCAGCAAGACUAGCCUUAAUAAUUGUAGCAGCUGUAACACAACAUGCCUUUGUUUUUACCUUACCUUUUAGCUAGUUAAAAAUAUGUUGCAUGACACUUGUUUUCUUUUGAGGAUUCCUUUUUCAAAAAGAUGAAAUUUUAUCUUGGAAAUGUAUUCUGUCAUUUUUCGUCAUCAAUACCUCAAUAUAUUUAUUGUCAUAGUGUGAAGUUGUGAAGACUUCUUUGCUGAGAUAUGCUUCAGAUUUUGUCUCUCUCUCUUUUUUGUUUUAAAAAACUGUGUUAUAGGAAAAAUAAAAUAAUUUUAUU